rnacentral:rRNA from 1 species
CGGGACGGGUGAGUAACGCGUGGGUAACCUGCCUCAUACAGGGGGGUAACAGUUAGAAAUGGCUGCUAAUACCGCAUAAGACCACAGUACUGCAUGGUACAGUGGUAAAAACUCCGGUGGUAUGAGAUGGACCCGCGUCUGAUUAGGUAGUUGGUGAGGUAACGGCCCACCAAGCCGACGAUCAGUAGCCGACCUGAGAGGGUGACCGGCCACAUUGGGACUGAGACACGGCCCAG